rnacentral:rRNA from 1 species
GGGCGCUUGGGACUGGGGCGGUCGCCUCCUAAAAGGGAACGGAGGCGCUCAAAGGGUCCCUCAGAAUGGGUGGAAAUCAUUCAUAGAGGGUAAAGGCAUAAGGGAGCUUGACUGCGAGACCUACAAGUCGAGCAGGGGCGAAAGACGGACUUAGUGAUCCGGUGGUUCCGCAUGGAAGGGCCAUCGCUCAACGGAUA